AGCUCGGCCACACUAACGGGUGACUUUUUUCGCCGCUCAAACUUGCAGGACGCACGUAGUGCUCCGUGCGGCGCUGUUAGGCUGAAGAGCUGCAGUGCGAAGCCCUCAGUCCGUCCGCGUAAGAGGGAGGAAAAGAGCGGGAAAAGAGCAGAAAAAGAGCGGGAAAAAGAGCGGGAAAAAGAGCGGGAAAAGUCCAUUUCGGGAGCGGUCCCGCAGCCAAGUCCACUGCGCGAGUGAGCAAGAGCAACGCGAGCCGGACGCGGACUAGUACCAGCAGUAAAACUGAAAAUGAUGAAGAGGCAGGGAAAUGAACGCUACAGAGAUGGAAGAAGCAGGGGAAAAAGUGUGCUGCUAAGAGACAAGAGGAAGCAGGGAUAGAGUCGGAGAGGGAGCUUGUGGAGAAGCUCUGCCGACACAACACACUUCGAACCAGAAUCAGAUGAACAAAAACACAGUCGUUGCCCACCAGCUAUGUGAACAGGUGGGAGUAAAGAACGGACGAGCAGCGUGGGGCCACCUCAACUCAACUCACCGCCGCAGUGUU